UGACGCUUUUCGGAGUGUAAACCGCUUUUCUUGGGGACGAUGAAGGACGGUACCCGAGGAAGAAGGCCCGGCUAACUACGUGCCAGCAGCCGCGGUAAUACGUAGGGGCCGAGCGUUGUCCGGAGUUAUUGGGCGUAAAGCGCGCGCAGGCGGCUUCGCGCGCCCGACGUGAAAGCCCCCGGCUUAACCGGGGAGGGUCGUUGGGGACGGCGGAGCUUGAGGGCGGGAGAGGUCGGUGGAAUUCCCGGUGUAGUGGUGAAAUGCGUAGAGAUCGGGAGGAACACCUGUGGCGAAGGCGGCCGACUGGGCCGACCCUGACGCUGAGGCGCGAAGGCGUGGGGAGCGAACGGGAUUAGAUACCCCGGUAGUCCACGCAGUAAACGAUGCAGACUAGGCGUGGGUGGACUUGACCCCAUCCGUGCCGGAGCUAACGCGGGAAGUCUGCCGCCUGGGGAGUACGGCCGCAAGGCUAAAACUCAAAGGAAUUGACGGGGGCCCGCACAAGCGGCGGAGCGUGCGGUUUAAUUCGACGCAACGCGCAGAACCUUACCAGGGCUUGACAUGCUUCUGCGAGACCGGGAAACCGGGAAGCCUUCGAGGGAGAAGCACAGGUGCUGCAUGGCUGUCGUCAGCUCGUGUCGUGAGAUGUUGGGUUAAGUCCCGCAACGAGCGCAACCCUCGUGAGUAGUUGUUGAUGUUUCUACUCAGACUGCCGCGAGCAACGCGGAGGAAGGUGGGGAUGACGUCAAGUCAGCAUGGCCCUUACGUCCUGGGCAACACGCACGCUACAAUGGAUGGGACAACGGGUAGCCAAGCGGCAACGCGGAGCGAAUCCCCCAAACCCAUUCUCAGUUGGAACUGUGGGCUGCAACUCGCCCGCAUGAACGUGGAGUCGCUAGUAACCGCAGGUCAGCAGUACUGCGGUGAAUACGUUCCCGGGCCUUGUACACACCGCCCGUCACGUCACGAAAGCCGGCAACACCUGAAGCCGGUGGGCCAACCUUUGGGAGGCAGCCGUCGAGGGUGGGGUGGGUGAUUGGGACGAAGUCGUAACAAGGUAGCCGUA
rnacentral:rRNA from 1 species